rnacentral:rRNA from 1 species
AUAAGCCGUAGGGAAACUGGGUCUAAUACCGGAUAGGACCAUGCUUUAGUGUGUGUGGUGGAAAGUUUUUUCGGUGUAGGAUGAGCCCGCGGCCUAUCAGCUUGUUGGUGGGGUAAUGGCCUACCAAGGCGGCGACGGGUAGCCGGACUGAGAGGUUGGUCGGCCACAUUGGGACUGAGAUACGGCCCAG